rnacentral:lncRNA from 1 species
GCAGGAUUAGGGGCCCAAGAUUUUACUAAUACAUACAUUUUCCACCUAAGACACCUUAGGUUUGAACAGUUUAUGUAAAAUAUAUGCUGAUGGAACAUGAGUCCUAUUGUCUGCUCACUACCGCAAAUAUACCUAAAGUUCCAUGUGUCAUUGUAUCUAUUGUAUCUUCCUAUUUCAUCUGAAAUAAGCCAUUUUUUUUCACCUUUUCUUUCUUUCUUUCUUUUUUAUUUUUUUCUUUUUAUUUUUUUGAGAUGGACUCUCACUGUGUCACUCAGGCUGGAGUGCAAUGGCGUGAUCUGGGCUCACUGAAACUUCCACUCCCUGGUUGAUUUACAUAUAAAGUUGAAAGCUCUUUGGUAUUCAUUUUCCACCUGGGGAAUCUGAUUAUGUCUUUUGGAUUUUUUCAUUCUUCCAAAUGAUGGUCAAUAUUUCAUACAAUACU